rnacentral:rRNA from 1 species
GGCGGACGGGUGAGGAAUACAUCGGAAUCUACUCUGUCGUGGGGGAUAACGUAGGGAAACUUACGCUAAUACCGCAUACGACCUACGGGUGAAAGCAGGGAUCUUCGGACCUUGCGCGAUUGAAUGAGCCGAUGUCGGAUUAGCUAGUUGGCGGGUAAAGGCCCACCAAGGCGACGAUCCGUAGCUGGUCUGAGAGGAUGAUCAGCCACACUGGAACUGAGACACGGUCCAGACUCCUACGGGAGGCAGCAGUU